GCAGUUGAGCGCUGAGGUUGGUACUUGUACCGACUGGAUGAGCAGCGAACGGGUGAGUAACGCGUGGGGAAUCUGCCUUUGAGCGGGGGACAACAUUUGGAAACGAAUGCUAAUACCGCAUAAAAACUUUAAACACAAGUUUUAAGUUUGAAAGAUGCAAUUGCAUCACUCAAAGAUGAUCCCGCGUUGUAUUAGCUAGUUGGUGAGGUAAAGGCUCACCAAGGCGAUGAUACAUAGCCGACCUGAGAGGGUGAUCGGCCACAUUGGGACUGAGACACGGCCCAAACUCCUACGGGAGGCAGCAGUAGGGAAUCUUCGGCAAUGGACGAAAGUCUGACCGAGCAACGCCGCGUGAGUGAAGAAGGUUUUCGGAUCGUAAAACUCUGUUGGUAGAGAAGAACGUUGGUGAGAGUGGAAAGCUCAUCAAGUGACGGUAACUACCCAGAAAGGGACGGCUAACUACGUGCCAGCAGCCGCGGUAAUACGUAGGUCCCGAGCGUUGUCCGGAUUUAUUGGGCGUAAAGCGAGCGCAGGUGGUUUAUUAAGUCUGGUGUAAAAGGCAGUGGCUCAACCAUUGUAUGCAUUGGAAACUGGUAGACUUGAGUGCAGGAGAGGAGAGUGGAAUUCCAUGUGUAGCGGUGAAAUGCGUAGAUAUAUGGAGGAACACCGGUGGCGAAAGCGGCUCUCUGGCCUGUAACUGACACUGAGGCUCGAAAGCGUGGGGAGCAAACAGGA
rnacentral:rRNA from 1 species